rnacentral:rRNA from 1 species
UACGUGGGGGACAAGCGUUGUCCGGAUUUACUGGGCGUAAAGAGCGCGCAGGCGGUCGAUCAAGUCGAGUGUGAAAGCCCCCGGCUCAACUGGGGAGGGGCAUUCGAUACUGAUCGACUCGAAGGCAGGAGAGGGUAGUGGAAUUCCCGGUGUAGUGGUGAAAUGCGUAGAUAUCGGGAGGAACACCAGUGGCGAAGGCGACUACCUGGCCUGUUCUUGACGCUGAGGCGCGAAAGCUAGGGGAGCAAACGGG